UACAGAGGGUGCGAGCGUUGUUCGGAAUUACUGGGCGUAAAGCGCGCGCAGGCGGCCUUUUAAGUCUGCUGGUGAAAUGCCGGGGCUCAACCCCGUGCCCGCCACAGAUACUGGGAGGCUGGAGACGAGUAGAGGCAAGCGGAAUUCCGGGUGUAGCGGUGGAAUGCGUAGAGAUCCGGAAGAACACCGGAGGCGGAGGCGGCUUGCUGGGCUUGGUCUGACGCUGAGGCGCGAAAGCGUGGGGAGCGAACAGG
rnacentral:rRNA from 1 species